GGGGGAUAACCUAGGGGAAACCCAGGCUAAUACCGCAUACGUACCUACGGGAGAAAGGGGGCUCCGGCUCCCGCUAUGGGAUGAGCCUAUGUCGGAUUAGCUAGUUGGUGAGGUAACGGCUCACCAAGGCCACGAUCCGUAGCUGGUCUGAGAGGAUGAUCAGCCACAUCGGGACUGAGACACGGCCCGAACUCCUACGGGAGGCAGCAGUGGGGAAUAUUGGACAAUGGGGGAAACCCUGAUCCAGCCAUGCCGCGUGUGUGAAGAAGGCCCUCGGGUUGUAAAGCACUUUCAGCGAGGAAGAACGCCUAGCGGUUAAUACCCGCUAGGAAAGACAUCACUCGCAGAAGAAGCACCGGCUAACUCCGUGCCAGCAGCCGCGGUAAUACGGAGGGUGCAAGCGUUAAUCGGAAUUACUGGGCGUAAAGCGCGCGUAGGUGGCUUGAUAAGCCGGUUGUGAAAGCCCCGGGCUCAACCUGGGAACGGCAUCCGGAACUGUCAAGCUAGAGUGCAGGAGAGGAAGGUAGAAUUCCCGGUGUAGCGGUGAAAUGCGUAGAGAUCGGGAGGAAUACCAGUGGCGAAGGCGGCCUUCUGGACUGACACUGACACUGAGGUGCGAAAGCGUGGGUAGCAAACAGGAUUAGAUACCCUGGUAGUCCACGCCGUAAACGAUGUCG
rnacentral:rRNA from 1 species